rnacentral:rRNA from 1 species
CGUGGGUAACCUGCCUUAUAUGGGGGAUAGCCUUUCGAAAGGAAGAUUAAUACCGCAUAAGAUUGUAGUAUCGCAUGAUAUAGCAAUUAAAGGAGCAAUCCGCUAUAAGAUGGACCCGCGUCGCAUUAGCUAGUUGGUGAGGUAAUGGCUCACCAAGGCGACGAUGCGUAGCCGACCUGAGAGGGUGAUCGGCCACAUUGGGACUGAGACACGGCCCAGACUCCUACGGGAGGCAGCAUG